CAAACGUUCAGCAAUUAUUUUUCAUUUUUAGGAGUCAUCUAGUCUAUACCUAAUUCAAAAGCAAUUUUUAAAGCAGACUCAACUUGCCUGGAUCUUGAUUUCCCAAAUCAUUUAUCAAGGUUUAUGUAGAAACAACUUUCAUUUUGCAUUGAUGUGUAAAAGGUUACAUAAUGUUGAAUUAAGUUUCACAGUGUUACUGGAACAGGGUCCCGAUCCAGACCCCGAGAAAGGGGGUUCUUAAACCUCGUGCAAGAAAGAAUUUGGGGUGAGUCCACAAAGUGAAAGCAAGUUUAUGAAGAAAGUAAAGGAAUGAAAGAACGGCUACUCUGUAGGCAAACCAGUGGUGUGGGCUCCAAACCAAAUACACUUACAGUUAUUUCUUGAUGAUAUUUCUUGAUAACAAGGGGUGGGUCAUUCAUGAGUUUGCCGGGAAAGUGGUGGGUAAUUCCUGUAACUGAGGGCUGCUCCCCUUUUUAGACCACAUAGGGUAGCUUCCUGACACUGCCAUGCUCGUGCGUUAUAAUUAGUAUAUAAUGAGGAGUGAGGGUGACCAGAGGACACUUUCAUCACCGUCUUGGUUUCAGCCAGCUUCGUUACCAUAUUCUGUUUUAUCAGCAGGGUCUUUGUGACCUAUAUCUCCUGCCCACCUCCUACUCAUCCUGUGACUAAGAACGCUUAACUUCCCAGGGAUGCAGCCCACAGGUCUCAGCCUCAUUUCACCCAGCCCCUGUUCAAGACGGAGUCGCUCUGGUUCAAAUGCCUCUGACACUAGUAAGGAUCACAGGUGGCAUCAACAGGUUUGGAGCAAACCUGAGGGUCUUCUGGUCGGUCACAUCUCCACUGACGAAAUUCACGACCAGCAGAGAGCAGGCUCCUCGCCCUCCUGGGGCUCACUGAGUCAUCCAGCCCAUUUUGACCAAGAUUAUGUGAGUUGUGGGAGCAGAGGUUGGUUGACAGAGCUCCCGCUGUUUGUAAUCACAGUGUCUUGCAAAAAAUAAAUUAAAAAACACAAGAAUACACUCCCGUGCAUGAUCCUACAGCCCAGAGGCAUCCACUUACUACAUUUUGCAUAUAGUUUUCCAGUUACUGACAAAUACUUUAAUGUACUUACAGUCAACAUCGUUGCAGGGAUAGAGGGAACCGUCAUCCACAAACUGCCCUCAGUUCUGCACCAGUUACAAGGGUAGGGGUCUCCAAGACCACCCUCAGGUUUGAUAAUUCACUAGAAAAACUCACUGAAAGCUGAUAUACUCAUGGUCACGGCUUAGCACAGGAGCAGGACACAGACAAAAAUCAACCCAGGGGAAGGUGCUCAGGCUGGAGUCCAGGAAGUUCCCACCUGCAGAGCGUCCUGUUGUCCCUUCCCAUGGAGCUGUGGACGGUGUCCUUUCUGGCACCCAGGCAGGAUCACCUGAGCUUAGUGUCCCAGAGCCUUUACUGGGGCCCCGUGGUUGACUGCCCAGGCGGAUGGAGGUCUCCAGCUCACUCGGGAGGGUGAGCCGAUUACAACGCCCACCUAGUGAAAGACUAGUGAAAGAUUAGUGAAAGACUAACGUGGCAAAGACCAAAAAUAAAAAUGAAAGCAGUCUCCGGUUGUCCCGUUGGCUCACCGUGUCCUGGCCCUCUCCCCGGCUUGGCAGAGUCUGUGAGGCCUUCCGUUGUCCCUAAACUGUGUCACUUCUUCAGUUGUGGAAGACACAGAGUGUACAUGGUCCUCGUCCACUGAAAUGCAAGUGAGUGUCGUCUGUUAGGAUGCAGCCGGUUAUUGCCUUGUAGGUAUUGGCCAGUUUUAUGUCUGUCUGUAAAUCCAUCUCAGCAUUCUGAUUGCCAGUAAGUGAGAGUGUGCCAGUCCUUGUUGAACUGACUGUAACAUCUGACUGGUUUCCUCGUUCACUCACAAGUAAAACCAAAUAUUUGGUGUGUGUCCAUUUUAUAUUUGUAUGAGAAUCACGAUGUCAGUUUGAAAAAUAUUCUUUUCCUGUCCCCGUCAGCCCAUUGCCUAGAGUCCCUCAUGAAAAGGCGCAGAGCAGCUUCCCUUGUCUUUAUUUUUCCUUCUCCUGAAACGCAGCACAUUUUGACGGCUUGUUCACUGGACUCCAGGCUCAUGAGAGAAGAAUCCUCUCAGUCUGGCUUUCUACUGAAUCCUCAACCCCAG
rnacentral:lncRNA from 1 species